rnacentral:rRNA from 1 species
CGAACGCUGGCGGCGUGCCUAACACUUGCAAGUCGAACGAGAAAGGGGCUUCGGCUCCGAGUAAAGUGGCGCACGGGUGAGUAACACGUGGGUAACCUGCCUCUAAGAUUGGGAUAACUCGUCGAAAGAUGAGCUAAUACCGAAUAAGACCACAGUUCCCGCGGGAACAGGGGUCAAAGGUAGCCUCUGCUUGCAAGCUAUCACUUAGAGAUGGGCCUGCGCACCAUUAGCUAGUUGGUAGGGUAACGGCCUACCAAGGCAAAGAUGGUUAGCUGGUCUGAGAGGAUGAUCAGCCACACUGGAACUGAGACACGGUCCAGACUCCUACGGGAGGCAGCAGUGGGGAAUAUUGCGCAAUGGGCGAAAGCUUGACGCAGCAACGCCGCGUGAGUGAUGAAGGCCUUCGGGUCGUAAAGCUCUGUCGGGAGGAACGAAUGCUCCUGAGGUUAACAGCCUCGGGAGGUGACGGUACCUUCAAAGGAAGCACCGGCUAACUCUGUG